GACGAACGCUGGCGGCGUGCUUAACACAUGCAAGUCGAACGGAAAGGCCCUGCUUUUGUGGGGUGCUCGAGUGGCGAACGGGUGAGUAACACGUGAGUAACCUGCCCUUGACUUUGGGAUAACUUCAGGAAACUGGGGCUAAUACCGGAUAGGAGCUCCUGCUGCAUGGUGGGGGUUGGAAAGUUUCGGCGGGUGGGGAUGGACUCGCGGCUUAUCAGCUUGUUGGUGGGGUAGUGGCUUACCAAGGCUUUGACGGGUAGCCGGCCUGAGAGGGUGACCGGCCACAUUGGGACUGAGAUGCGACCCAGAGUGCUACGGGAGGCAGGGGUGGAAAAUGUUGCGCAAUGGGCGGAGGCCUGAUGCAGCGGCGCCGGGUGCGGGAUGACGGCCUUCGGGUUGUAAACCGCUUUCGCCUGUGACGAAGCGUGAGUGACGGUAAUGGGUAAAGAAGCACCGGCUAACUACGUG
rnacentral:rRNA from 1 species